AUUGAACGCUGGCGGCAUGCCUUACACAUGCAAGUCGAACGGUAACGGGCCUUCGGGUGCCGCCGAGUGGCGAACGGGUGAGUAAUACAUCGGAACGUGCCCGAUCGUGGGGGAUAACGAGGCGAAAGCUUUGCUAAUACCGCAUACGAUCUACGGAUGAAAGCAGGGGACCGCAAGGCCUUGCGCGGACGGAGCGGCCGAUGGCAGAUUAGGUAGUUGGUGGGAUAAAAGCUUACCAAGCCGACGAUCUGUAGCUGGUCUGAGAGGAUGAUCAGCCACACUGGGACUGAGACACGGCCCAGACUCCUACGGGAGGCAGCAGUGGGGAAUUUUGGACAAUGGGCGCAAGCCUGAUCCAGCCAUGCCGCGUGCAGGAUGAAGGCCUUCAGGUUGUAAACUGCUUUUGUACGGAACGAAAAGCCUUCUUUUAAUACAGGAGGGUCAUGACGGUACCGUAAGAAUAAGCACCGGCUAACUACGUG
rnacentral:rRNA from 1 species